UCAAGAUUCAAGAUGGAUAUGGCGUAUAAUUUUAUUUUUGAUUAUGAUAAUAAUGUUUUGGAUUAUAUAGAUAAUUUGGACUCCAUAACAAAUCGUCCUAAAACUUUUAAGGAACGGCGUCAUUAUUUUGAUGAUGUAGAUUUCUGCACCAGGUUUCGUUUGUCAAAAAAAUCUGCUUUGGAUGUACUGGGAUUAAUUGAAGACAAACUUGAAUACCCAUCAGAUCGGAAUGAAUCAAUUGCUUUUGACAUUAAGAUAUUAUGCAACUGGUUCGCAACAGAUAACAGUUGGAGACUAUAUUGGGACCAGCAAAUCAACCUCUCACAGAAUAAUACUCAGGGUUACCGCUGCAAUAGCUUCACUAAGCAAGCAAUAUAUAAAGUUCCCAGAUACAGAGCAAGAGAUUAGUGAAGCAAAGAUACGAUUCUACAACAUUGCACGAUUUCCCAAAGCUGUUGGUGCAUUGGACUGCACACACAUUAGACUUCGUUCCCCUGGUGGACAAACGGCAGAGUACUUUAGGAAUAGGAAAGGCUAUAUGUCCAUAAAUGUGCAAGCAAUUGGAAGUGCCAACUUAGAAAUUAUAGACUUAGUUGCAAGAUGGCCAGGAAGCAGCCACGACCAAACAAUUUGGAAUGCAUCAUACAGGAAUGCCCUUUUUGAAAACAACCGUUAUGGUGACUCUUAUAUUCUUGCUGAUAGUGGAUAUAUAAAUCGACCAUAUGUAAUGAUGCCACUGGAAAACCCAAGAACUCCUGAGGAGAUUUUAUAUAAUGAGUCCCAAAUCAGGAGCAUGAUUGUUUCUAUGAUAUAACAUACUUUUGUAACUUCUGACCGAAAAAGCAUGUACUUUAACUUUGCCACUGAGAUUUUAAACUUUAUAAAUAAAUAAAUAAGGUCCAGUUCUCUA